rnacentral:rRNA from 1 species
CGAGCGAACAGACGAGGAGCUUGCUCCUCUGACGUUAGCGGCGGACGGGUGAGUAACACGUGGAUAACCUACCUAUAAGACUGGGAUAACUUCGGGAAACCGGAGCUAAUACCGGAUAAUAUAUUGAACCGCAUGGUUCAAUAGUGAAAGACGGUUUUGCUGUCACUUAUAGAUGGAUCCGCGCCGCAUUAGCUAGUUGGUAAGGUAACGGCUUACCAAGGCGACGAUGCGUAGCCGACCUGAGAGGGUGAUCGGCCACACUGGAACUGAGACACGGUCCAGACUCCUACGGGAGGCAGCAGUAGGGAAUCUUCCGCAAUGGGCGAAAGCCUGACGGAGCAACGCCGCGUGAGUGAUGAAGGUCUUCGGAUCGUAAAACUCUGUUAUUAGGGAAGAACAAAUGUGUAAGUAACUAUGCACGUCUUGACGAUACCUAAUCAGAAAGCCACGGCUAACUACGUGCCAGCAGCCGCGGUAAUACGUAGGUGGCAAGCGUUAUCCGGAAUUAUUGGGCGUAAAGCGCGCGUAGGCGGUUUUUUAAGUCUGAUGUGAAAGCCCACGGCUCAACCGUGGAGGGUCAUUGGAAACUGGAAAACUUGAGUGCAGAAGAGGAAAGUGGAAUUCCAUGUGUAGCGGUGAAAUGCGCAGAGAUAUGGAGGAACACCAGUGGCGAAGGCGACUUUCUGGUCUGUAACUGACGCUGAUGUGCGAAAGCGUGGGGAUCAAACAGGAUUAGAU